GGAGACGUGGCCGAGCGGCUGAAGGCGCCCGCCUGCUAAGUGGGUAUUGGGGGUUAACCUCAAUCGAGGGUUCGAAUCCCUCCGUCUCCG
rnacentral:tRNA from 1 species